GAGGGAAUAGCUCAGUUGGUAGAGCGCAACCUUGCCAAGGUUGAGGUCGCGAGUUCGAGUCUCGUUUCCCGCUCCA
rnacentral:tRNA from 1 species